rnacentral:rRNA from 1 species
AGAGUUUGAUCAUGGCUCAGAGCGAACGCUGGCGGCAGGCUUAACACAUGCAAGUCGAACGCAUCCUUCGGGAUGAGUGGCAGACGGGUGAGUAACACGUGGGAACGUACCCUUCGGUUCGGAAUAACUCAGGGAAACUUGAGCUAAUACCGGAUACGCCCUUUUGGGGAAAGGUUUACUGCCGAAGGAUCGGCCCGCGUCUGAUUAGCUAGUUGGUGGGGUAACGGCCUACCAAGGCGACGAUCAGUAGCUGGUCUGAGAGGAUGAUCAGCCACACUGGGACUGAGACACGGCCCAGACUCCUACGGGACGCAGCAG